GGCACCCACAGCUGAAAAGCCUGGCCAUGCCCCUCCUCAUCCUGUAGCCAGGCUCCACCCCCUCCCAUGACCUUACCAGCUGCACACCCUCCUUUCUGGAUCCUUCCAGCCUCCUGACGAGAGCACUGCAGUCAGCCAUGCUUUAUGUCCAGCAGAGGGCCUUCUACAGGGGUCAUCACAGAGCGCUGCUUCAUCUCUCUCCACAGCAGGUACACAAUUUCUCAACCUCACCCUCCCAAUGCAAGGAGCUGAGAGAGGUGCCAGAGUCCAGCGUCGUCGUUUUCAACUAUAAGCAACGUGUGACUUCUAUUAAAG
rnacentral:lncRNA from 1 species